UACGUAGGGGGCAAGCGUUGUCCGGAAUCAUUGGGCGUAAAGCGCGCGUAGGCGGCCCGGUAAGUCCGCUCUGAAAGUCCAGGGCUCAACCCUGGAAAGCGGGUGGAUACUGCCGGGCUAGAAUCCGGAAGAGGCGAGUGGAAUUCCUGGUGUAGCGGUGGAAUGCGCAGAUAUCAGGAGGAACACCAAUAGCGAAGGCAGCUCGCUGGGACGGUAUUGACGCUAAGGCGCGAAAAGCGUGGGGAGCAAAC
rnacentral:rRNA from 1 species